rfam:Cucumis melo, WGS project CAJI01000000 data, contig: 40435
AUACUUACCUGGACGAGGUCAAUGAGCGAUCAUGAAAACUUAUGACCUAGGUUGGUGACCUCUAUUGCAACUUCAGAGAGGUGUCCAUCUAAGGUAUGUACAAAACGACAGUCUCUACGUCACAAUUUGUGGAAGCAUAAAAUGAAUGAAAUUUUGUU